CCUACGGGUGGCAGCAGUGGGGAAUAUUGCACAAUGGGGGAAACCCUGAUGCAGCGACGCCGCGUGAGCGAUGAAGUAUUUCGGUAUGUAAAGCUCUAUCAGCCGGGAAGAAAAUGACGGUACCUGACUCAGAAGCACCGGCUAACUACGUGCCAGCAGCCGCGGUAAUACGUAGGGGGCAAGCGUUAUCCGGAUUUACUGGGUGUAAAGGGAGCGUAGACGGCUGUGCAAGCCAGAUGUGAAAGCCCGGGGCUCAACCCCGGGACUGCAUUUGGAACUGGGUGGCUGGAGUGUCGGAGAGGCAGGCGGAAUUCCUGGUGUAGCGGUGAAAUGCGUAGAUAUUAGGAGGAACACCAGUGGCGAAGGCGGCCUGCUGGACGAAGACUGACGUUGAGGCUCGAAAGCGUGGGGAGCAAACAGGAUUAGAUACCCGUGUAGUC
rnacentral:rRNA from 1 species